rnacentral:rRNA from 1 species
AGUAACACGUAGGUAACCUGCCCAUGUGCCCGGGAUAACUUCUGGAAACGGAUGCUAAAACCGGAUAGGUAGCAGACAAGCAUUUGACUGCUAUUAAAGUGGCUAAGGCCAUGAACAUGGAUGGACCUGCGGUGCAUUAACUAGUUGGUGAGGUAACGGCCCACCAAGGCGACGAUGCAUAGCCGGCCUGAGAGGGCGGACGGCCACAUUGGGACUGAGACACGGCCCAAACUCCUACGGGAGGCAGCAUG